CACGAAAACAAACAAAUGUGACUAAGAUAAGAUAAGAUAUAAUACGUUAUUGCCCGUGAGGGAAUUUUGUGUACAUCAGAUGUAUAUGACAUAUAAAUAUGAGAAAGCACAUGCAAACAUAAACAAUUAUAUUUAAGACAUCCAAAGCAGUAGGACAUGUAGAAUCCCUGAAAGUUAAACAUAAUAAGGCCUAACCCAACAGAUAACAGACCAGUGGGUAAAAGCUUAUAACAAGUUUAAAACAUGAGAUGGGUCAUUUAAAAUUCUUAAGGUAAGAUUAUAAACAGUUGAAAUGUAUAGAGUUUCUAAAAUUCCAAAAUCACAAGAAGCUAUUUUCCCUGCAACUUUCACACCUCUAUUCAACUUGUUCUGGUUCUGGAGUGUUAAGGGUCCAUACCAGCACUGUAUUGAUAACUUUAAAAUAGAUUGUAUACAUGAUUUGUAGAACAUUCAUAAUGGUAGAGUCUAUUUGGAAUGAACGGAGAUUUCGUAGGAAUUCUAGACAGGCUAGCAUCGGUAUUCUGUGAGAAGGAAAUUUAUUGUCAAUAAUUGUCCCUAGAUACUUGCACUCUUCAGCUACUUCGACUUCUUGGUCCUGGAUAGUUACAAGUGUGAUUGGUGAUCGUAUCCUGCGAAAGUCAACGAUGAGCUCUUAAUUUUCGAGGUUCGAGAAAAUUAUCUUCACACCACGCUGUGAAGGCUGAUACUUCUUCUUUGUUGGAAUCGAACAGGAGGCUGCUUAUUGCUGUAUCAUCGGCAAACUUUACUCUGACACAGUCAUUGGUGUAAAGAGUAAAGAGCAUAGGAGACAGUACACAUCCCUGGGGAACACUUGAAUUAGUGACGGUCGUCUCAGAUGUAGAGUUGUUGACUUUGACAUACUAAAUAUGUAAAUAUCGACAAAGAAAAUAUAAACUGAAACUUACACGAUCAACUAAAUACUGCUAAAAGCAACAACAUAUAUGAAAACGCAUGUGUAUAAAAACUAUAGUCCUCAUUGUUCCACACAUAAGCCAUCUUUCAGAACACUAAAUCAAACAAACCGGAAAAUCCAUAUACAUUUUUAAAAACAAAACAUAACAAAAGAGAUCACAAACUGGGAUUAAUAUAUACUAAUAUGCAUCACCUACUAGAACUCUUCCAUUACUACUUUUCAGAGAUGAACAUUAUAUAUCAACAUGUUGAAAGAUUAUAAGACAUUCUAGAACAAAAAUACAAAGUAAUUUUAAAACUGAUUAUAUAAUUUGAGUUUUGUAAAGUUUCUGCUGACAUAAUAUUUAUGUGUUAUGCGACCAAAGAACUCACACCCACGUACAUUACAUGGAUAUGGUCUGAGGCCAUACAGUUCACCCUAGUUCAUGACCGGGCACAACGUCCAGCUACCACUGUGCAAUUAUAUAUUCAGCUCCAGUGAGUGUUGCCAAGGGAAGUCAAAGGAGCUCUGUAGUGUUGUUAAGAAAUUCUGCAGUAGGGCUGAUCACUGCGAGGUGGCAUGAUGUCCUCACUUUUCAGAUAAUUCAUGUUUUAUGUUUAUUUCGUUCCCUGCUGACCAUUUAAGACGGUAUCCACUGUCUUUUUUGUCUUCAGCAUCUCGAAAUUUUGAGCUGAGUGUAUAUGUUCUCUGUCUGGUACUUGGGUACAG